UUCGCAAUGCCCGAAAGGGUGACUAUGCGACGCCGCGUGGGUGAUGAAGGCCUUCGGGUUGUAAAGCCCUGUCGCCUGGGAAGAAUGGCGGGAGGUGAAUAACCAUCUCGCUUGACGCUACCAGGGGAGGAAGCACCGGCUAAAUACGUGCCAGCAGCCGCGGUAACACGUAUGGUGCGAACGUUGUUCGGAAUCACUGGGCAUAAAGAGCACGUAGGCGGUCGAGUCAGUCCAUUGUGAAAUCCCCCGGCUUAACCGGGGAACUGCAGUGGAUACUGCUUGACUUGAGUACAGGAGGGGAGAGUGGAAUUCCUGGUGGAGCGGUGAAAUGCGUAGAUGUCAGGAGGAACGCCGGCGGCGAAAGCGACUCUCUGGUCUGUUACUGACGCUGAGGUGCGAAAGCUAGGGGAGCAAACAGGAUUAGAUACCCCGGUAGUCCUAGCCCUAAACGAUGGGCACUAAGUAGAGGGGUUUUA
rnacentral:rRNA from 1 species